GUCUUGGAAGAGUGUUGCCAUCGUAUACGCUAAAAGCUGAUUGGCUCCGCCAUCUUUUGCUCAGAUUUCCGGAUUAAUUUGGAAGGGGUAAACAGAUGAUGAGUUGUUUAUUUUUCGUUUACUCUAGUUUAACCUCACUUAACUAGAUAGAUCGAGAAAUAUUAAAUUACUAUUACUAUUAUUCAGGUUGAAAAAUGCCUUCUUCUAAGGUAAAAGGUUGCGAAGUCGAUAGGGGAAAAAUAAUGUGAAAAUGAGUUCUUUCCCAAAAGAAUCUGAACGACGGAAAGUGUGGAUUAAAAAUAUAGGGUUAAAACAAGAUCCAAACAAAUAUGCUGUUGUUUGUGAAAAAAACUGUAAAUAGUAUUUAAGGCAACGAUUGUGAAUGAGUGAGAAGUCUAAUAAAGCCACGACGAGAUACUGUAUCAGAGCGUACGAUUUGGAGGUAUUUUUGAUUAGAUAAAUUUUGUAAAGUACAAUAUAAAUUAGAUUUGAUAAUGUGUAGUAUUUCCUAAUAAAUUAAAUACUAUUAAGUGUUUAUUGUUCGUGUAAGUUAGUGUGGUAAAUAAAUAAUAUGAAGUAAG